AAUCCAUAGGUUAAUGAGGCGAACCGGGGGAACUGAAACAUCUAAGUACCCCGAGGAAAAGAAAUCAACCGAGAUUCCCCCAGUAGCGGCGAGCGAACGGGGAGGAGCCCAGAGCCUGAAUCAGCAUGUGUGUUAGUGGAAGCGUCUGGAAAGGCGCGCGAUACAGGGUGACAGCCCCGUACACAAAAGCGCAUGUGCUGUGAGCUCGAUGAGUAGGGCGGGACACGUGGUAUCCUGUCUGAAUAUGGGGGGACCAUCCUCCAAGGCUAAAUACUCCUGACUGACCGAUAGUGAACCAGUACCGUGAGGGAAAGGCGAAAAGAACCCCGGCGAGGGGAGUGAAAAAGAACCUGAAACCGUGUACGUACAAGCAGUGGGAGCCCCACCACCAAAGCAUUUGCUGUACCGCGUUGACGGAGCGAAGCGACGUCAAACCGAUAAAACAGCAGUGUAAAG
rnacentral:rRNA from 2 species